rnacentral:rRNA from 1 species
ACUAAGCGUACACGGUGGAUGCCCUGGCAGUCAGAGGCGAUGAAGGACGUGCUAAUCUGCGAUAAGCGUCGGUAAGGUGAUAUGAACCGUUAUAACCGGCGAUUUCCGAAUGGGGAAACCCAGUGUGAUUCGUCACACUAUCAUUAACUGAAUCCAUAGGUUAAUGAGGCGAACCGGGGGAACUGAAACAUCUAAGUACCCCGAGGAAAAGAAAUCAACCGAGAUUCCCCCAGUAGCGGCGAGCGAACGGGGAGCAGCCCAGAGCCUGAAUCAGUGUGUGUGUUAGUGGAAGCGUCUGGAAAGGCGCGCGAUACAGGGUGACAGCCCCGUACACAAAAAUGCACAUGCUGUGAGCUCGAUGAGUAGGGCGGGACACGUGGUAUCCUGUCUGAAUAUGGGGGGACCAUCCUCCAAGGCUAAAUACUCCUGACUGACCGAUAGUGAACCAGUACCGUGAGGGAAAGGCGAAAAGAACCCCGGCGAGGGGAGUGAAAAAGAACCUGAAACCGUGUACGUACAAGCAGUGGGAGCACAGAGCAAUCUGUGUGACUGCGUACCUUUUGUAUAAUGGGUCAGCGACUUAUAUUCUGUAGCAAGGUUAACCGAAUAGGGGAGCCGAAGGGAAACCGAGUCUUAACUGGGCGUUAAGUUGCAGGGUAUAGACCCGAAACCCGGUGAUCUAGCCAUGGGCAGGUUGAAGGUUGGGUAACACUAACUGGAGGACCGAACCGACUAAUGUUGAAAAAUUAGCGGAUGACUUGUGGCUGGGGGUGAAAGGCCAAUCAAACCGGGAGAUAGCUGGUUCUCCCCGAAAGCUAUUUAGGUAGCGCCUCGUGAAUUCAUCUCCGGGGGUAGAGCACUGUUUCGGCAAGGGGGUCAUCCCGACUUACCAACCCGAUGCAAACUGCGAAUACCGGAGAAUGUUAUCACGGGAGACACACGGCGGGUGCUAACGUCCGUCGUGAAGAGGGAAACAACCCAGACCGCCAGCUAAGGUCCCAAAGUCAUGGUUAAGUGGGAAACGAUGUGGGAAGGCCCAGACAGCCAGGAUGUUGGCUUAGAAGCAGCCAUCAUUUAAAGAAAGCGUAAUAGCUCACUGGUCGAGUCGGCCUGCGCGGAAGAUGUAACGGGGCUAAACCAUGCACCGAAGCUGCGGCAGCGACGCUUAUGCGUUGUUGGGUAGGGGAGCGUUCUGUAAGCCUGUGAAGGUGUACUGUGAGGUAUGCUGGAGGUAUCAGAAGUGCGAAUGCUGACAUAAGUAACGAUAAAGCGGGUGAAAAGCCCGCUCGCCGGAAGACCAAGGGUUCCUGUCCAACGUUAAUCGGGGCAGGGUGAGUCGACCCCUAAGGCGAGGCCGAAAGGCGUAGUCGAUGGGAAACAGGUUAAUAUUCCUGUACUUGGUGUUACUGCGAAGGGGGGACGGAGAAGGCUAUGUUGGCCGGGCGACGGUUGUCCCGGUUUAAGCGUGUAGGCUGGUUUUCCAGGCAAAUCCGGAAAAUCAAGGCUGAGGCGUGAUGACGAGGCACUACGGUGCUGAAGCAACAAAUGCCCUGCUUCCAGGAAAAGCCUCUAAGCAUCAGGUAACAUCAAAUCGUACCCCAAACCGACACAGGUGGUCAGGUAGAGAAUACCAAGGCGCUUGAGAGAACUCGGGUGAAGGAACUAGGCAAAAUGGUGCCGUAACUUCGGGAGAAGGCACGCUGAUAUGUAGGUGAAGUCCCUCGCGGAUGGAGCUGAAAUCAGUCGAAGAUACCAGCUGGCUGCAACUGUUUAUUAAAAACACAGCACUGUGCAAACACGAAAGUGGACGUAUACGGUGUGACGCCUGCCCGGUGCCGGAAGGUUAAUUGAUGGGGUUAGCGCAAGCGAAGCUCUUGAUCGAAGCCCCGGUAAACGGCGGCCGUAACUAUAACGGUCCUAAGGUAGCGAAAUUCCUUGUCGGGUAAGUUCCGACCUGCACGAAUGGCGUAAUGAUGGCCAGGCUGUCUCCACCCGAGACUCAGUGAAAUUGAACUCGCUGUGAAGAUGCAGUGUACCCGCGGCAAGACGGAAAGACCCCGUGAACCUUUACUAUAGCUUGACACUGAACAUUGAGCCUUGAUGUGUAGGAUAGGUGGGAGGCUUUGAAGUGUGGACGCCAGUCUGCAUGGAGCCGACCUUGAAAUACCACCCUUUAAUGUUUGAUGUUCUAACGUUGACCCGUAAUCCGGGUUGCGGACAGUGUCUGGUGGGUAGUUUGACUGGGGCGGUCUCCUCCUAAAGAGUAACGGAGGAGCACGAAGGUUGGCUAAUCCUGGUCGGACAUCAGGAGGUUAGUGCAAUGGCAUAAGCCAGCUUGACUGCGAGCGUGACGGCGCGAGCAGGUGCGAAAGCAGGUCAUAGUGAUCCGGUGGUUCUGAAUGGAAGGGCCAUCGCUCAACGGAUAAAAGGUACUCCGGGGAUAACAGGCUGAUACCGCCCAAGAGUUCAUAUCGACGGCGGUGUUUGGCACCUCGAUGUCGGCUCAUCACAUCCUGGGGCUGAAGUAGGUCCCAAGGGUAUGGCUGUUCGCCAUUUAAAGUGGUACGCGAGCUGGGUUUAGAACGUCGUGAGACAGUUCGGUCCCUAUCUGCCGUGGGCGCUGGAGAACUGAGGGGGGCUGCUCCUAGUACGAGAGGACCGGAGUGGACGCAUCACUGGUGUUCGGGUUGUCAUGCCAAUGGCACUGCCCGGUAGCUAAAUGCGGAAGAGAUAAGUGCUGAAAGCAUCUAAGCACGAAACUUGCCCCGAGAUGAGUUCUCCCUGACUCCUUGAGAGUCCUGAAGGAACGUUGAAGACGACGACGUUGAUAGGCCGGGUGUGUAAGCGCAGCGAUGCGUUGAGCUAACCGGUACUAAUGAACCGUGAGGCUUAACC